GCUUGAAUCGGAGUGCAUCUUCGGAACUGAAUCGGACGGCAGGUAGAAGAAAUCGUUGUGCAAUUGCUGCGGCUGAGGAUGUGGAGGUAGCGGUGGUAGAAUCUCCGGCUUCCGAUCUUCUGGAGAUCCAACUUUAUCCAUGUAGCAGGUAGUGUUCAUUUUCCUGUUCUUCUCAAUCGAUCCCUUUUUGUUGUAAAUUCUACAUAGAACCCAAUCGUCCAGCUGUAAACGAGACAGAAACCGUCAAAAAUCAAUCGGAAAAACAGAGUCUAGAUCGUCAAAAAAAAAUUAUUAAUCUGUUCUACACUCACCCUUAAGCUAUUGUUAUUCUUCCGAGCAGAUCGAUCAACAUCAGCUAGACGAUAUUCAUGCAUGAUCCAAUUAGUUUUCUCUCCUUUAGGUGCUUUACCAGAAUAAAACACCAAUGCUUUCUUAAUUCCCACCGCUUUCGGAUUUCCAAUCGGCUUAUCCGCACCAGUAGCCUUCCAAUAUCCAGUUCCAGCAGCUCGAUUAGGUCGUGAACCAUUCGGAUACUUCCGAUCUCGAGGUGAAAAGAAGUACCACUCCUUUUCUCCAUACAAUGCCAAAUCUAAAACACAAAACACAAACAAAAAAAUUUAGAUCCAUCUGAAUUUCAGAAAUUUUCAACUGUUCAGUACUAACAAAAACUAAUUUACCAGGAAGAUCCCAUGGAUCAAACUUGUAGAGAUCAAUUUCUGCUACAAUUGGUACAGCAAUUGGCUGUGAAGUGCAUUUUCUGCAUAAAUAAUGCGUCACAAGUUCUUCAUCAGUUGGAUGAAAUCUGAAUCCUGGAGGUAACUGCAAUUCAGCUGCUGUCAUUUUUUCUUUUUCUUUUAAAUAUAAAUUUCUUAUUUCAGUCUAAAGACAGAGUUUUCUGAAUUCUUUGAAUAGAAUUGAAGGAAUAGGAAAACGGUUGAAAGUUGAAACUUCGGUCACAAGGGAGAGAGCUAAAUAUAUAGAAAACGGAACAAGGACACGUGGCGAAGAUAAGCUGAAGGGAUCUAGAAAAAACGUGUUAAAAUAAUUAGAAAUAAAAUGAUAACUAAAAUUAUAUCAAAAAAAAAGUGGACACGUAUGCAAAAAAUUGAGUUUGAGGGGG
rnacentral:lncRNA from 1 species